rnacentral:rRNA from 1 species
AGCGAACGCUGGCGGCAGGCUUAACACAUGCAAGUCGAGCGGGCGUAGCAAUACGUCAGCGGCAGACGGGUGAGUAACGCGUGGGAACGUACCUUUUGGUUCGGAACAACACAGGGAAACUUGUGCUAAUACCGGAUAAGCCCUUACGGGGAAAGAUUUAUCGCCGAAAGAUCGGCCCGCGUCUGAUUAGCUAGUUGGUGAGGUAACGGCUCACCAAGGCGACGAUCAGUAGCUGGUCNGAGAGGAUGAUCAGCCACAUUGGGACUGAGACACGGCCCAAACUCCUACGGGAGGCAGCAGUGGGGAAGUAUUGG